UAGUGGCGAACGGGUGAGUAACACGUGGGCAAUCUGCCCUUCACUCUGGGACAAGCCCUGGAAACGGGGUCUAAUACCGGAUAAUACUUUCUCCUGCAUGGGGGAGGGUUGAAAGCUCCGGCGGUGAAGGAUGAGCCCGCGGCCUAUCAGCUUGUUGGUGGGGUGAUGGCCUACCAAGGCGACGACGGGUAGCCGGCCUGAGAGGGCGACCGGCCACACUGGGACUGAGACACGGCCCAGACUCCUACGGGAGGCAGCAGUGGGGAAUAUUGCACAAUGGGCGGAAGCCUGAUGCAGCGACGCCGCGUGAGGGAUGACGGCCUUCGGGUUGUAAACCUCUUUCAGCAGGGAAGAAGCGUGAGUGACGGUACCUGCAGAAGAAGCGCCGGCUAACUACGUGCCAGCAGCCGCGGUAAUACGUAGGGCGCAAGCGUUGUCCGGAAUUAUUGGNCGUAAAGAGCUCGUAGGCGGCUUGUCGCGUCGGAUGUGAAAGCCCGGGGCUUAACCCCGGGUCUGCAUUCGAUACGGGCAGGCUAGAGUGUGGUAGGGGAGAUCGNAUUCCU
rnacentral:rRNA from 1 species